GACUCUCGGCAACGGACAUCUCGGCUCUCGCAUCGAUGAAGAAUAUAGCGAAAUGCGACACUUGGUGCAGAAUCCCGUGAACCAUCGAGUCUUUGAACGCAAAAUACGCCUGAAGCCAUUAGGUCGAGGGCACAUCUGUCUAGGUGUCA
rfam:Solanum tuberosum cultivar DM 1-3 516 R44 scf00701_9, whole genome shotgun sequence.